CUAGGGAUAUUCUAAAUAAGAUUACAGCUUUGGGAGUUGUAGAAUAUCACCCUUGA
rnacentral:tRNA from 1 species